rnacentral:rRNA from 1 species
UACGUAGGGUGCGAGCGUUGUCCGGAAUUAUUGGGCGUAAAGGGCUCGUAGGCGGUCUGUUGCGUCGGGAGUGAAAACUCAGGGCUUAACCCUGAGCCUGCUUCCGAUACGGGCAGACUAGAGGUAUGCAGGGGAGAACGGAAUUCCUGGUGUAGCGGUGAAAUGCGCAGAUAUCAGGAGGAACACCGGUGGCGAAGGCGGUUCUCUGGGCAUUACCUGACGCUGAGGAGCGAAAGCGUGGGUAGCGAACAGG